GGGUUGUGAGGUUAAGCGACUAAGCGUACACGGUGGAUGCCCUGGCAGUCAGAGGCGAUGAAGGACGUGCUAAUCUGCGAUAAGCGUCGGUAAGGUGAUAUGAACCGUUAUAACCGGCGAUUUCCGAAUGGGGAAACCCAGUGUGAUUCGUCACACUAUCAUUAACUGAAUCCAUAGGUUAAUGAGGCGAACCGGGGGAACUGAAACAUCUAAGUACCCCGAGGAAAAGAAAUCAACCGAGAUUCCCCCAGUAGCGGCGAGCGAACGGGGAGCAGCCCAGAGCCUGAAUCAGUGUGUGUGUUAGUGGAAGCGUCUGGAAAGGCGCGCGAUACAGGGUGACAGCCCCGUACACAAAAAUGCACAUAUUGUGAGCUCGAUGAGUAGGGCGGGACACGUGGUAUCCUGUCUGAAUAUGGGGGGCCCAUCCUCCAAGGCUAAAUACUCCUGACUGACCGAUAGUGAACCAGUACCGUGAGGGAAAGGCGAAAAGAACCCCGGCGAGGGGAGUGAAAAAGAACCUGAAACCGUGUACGUACAAGCAGUGGGAGCACGCUUAGGCGUGUGACUGCGUACCUUUUGUAUAAUGGGUCAGCGACUUAUAUUCUGUAGCAAGGUUAACCGAAUAGGGGAGCCGAAGGGAAACCGAGUCUUAACUGGGCGUUAAGUUGCAGGGUAUAGACCCGAAACCCGGUGAUCUAGCCAUGGGCAGGUUGAAGGUUGGGUAACACUAACUGGAGGACCGAACCGACUAAUGUUGAAAAAUUAGCGGAUGACUUGUGGCUGGGGGUGAAAGGCCAAUCAAACCGGGAGAUAGCUGGUUCUCCCCGAAAGCUAUUUAGGUAGCGCCUCGUGAAUUCAUCUCCGGGGGUAGAGCACUGUUUCGGCAAGGGGGUCAUCCCGACUUACCAACCCGAUGCAAACUGCGAAUACCGGAGAAUGUUAUCACGGGAGACACACGGCGGGUGCUAACGUCCGUCGUGAAGAGGGAAACAACCCAGACCGCCAGCUAAGGUCCCAAAGUCAUGGUUAAGUGGGAAACGAUGUGGGAAGGCCCAGACAGCCAGGAUGUUGGCUUAGAAGCAGCCAUCAUUUAAAGAAAGCGUAAUAGCUCACUGGUCGAGUCGGCCUGCGCGGAAGAUGUAACGGGGCUAAACCAUGCACCGAAGCUGCGGCAGCGACGCUUAUGCGUUGUUGGGUAGGGGAGCGUUCUGUAAGCCUGCGAAGGUGUGCUGUGAGGCAUGCUGGAGGUAUCAGAAGUGCGAAUGCUGACAUAAGUAACGAUAAAGCGGGUGAAAAGCCCGCUCGCCGGAAGACCAAGGGUUCCUGUCCAACGUUAAUCGGGGCAGGGUGAGUCGACCCCUAAGGCGAGGCCGAAAGGCGUAGUCGAUGGGAAACAGGUUAAUAUUCCUGUACUUGGUGUUACUGCGAAGGGGGGGACGGAGAAGGCUAUGUUGGCCGGGCGACGGUUGUCCCGGUUUAAGCGUGUAGGCUGGUUUUCCAGGCAAAUCCGGAAAAUCAAGGCUGAGGCGUGAUGACGAGGCACUACGGUGCUGAAGCAACAAAUGCCCUGCUUCCAGGAAAAGCCUCUAAGCAUCAGGUAACAUCAAAUCGUACCCCAAACCGACACAGGUGGUCAGGUAGAGAAUACCAAGGCGCUUGAGAGAACUCGGGUGAAGGAACUAGGCAAAAUGGUGCCGUAACUUCGGGAGAAGGCACGCUGAUAUGUAGGUGAAGUCCCUUGCGGAUGGAGCUGAAAUCAGUCGAAGAUACCAGCUGGCUGCAACUGUUUAUUAAAAACACAGCACUGUGCAAACACGAAAGUGGACGUAUACGGUGUGACGCCUGCCCGGUGCCGGAAGGUUAAUUGAUGGGGUCAGCGCAAGCGAAGCUCUUGAUCGAAGCCCCGGUAAACGGCGGCCGUAACUAUAACGGUCCUAAGGUAGCGAAAUUCCUUGUCGGGUAAGUUCCGACCUGCACGAAUGGCGUAAUGAUGGCCAGGCUGUCUCCACCCGAGACUCAGUGAAAUUGAACUCGCUGUGAAGAUGCAGUGUACCCGCGGCAAGACGGAAAGACCCCGUGAACCUUUACUAUAGCUUGACACUGAACAUUGAGCCUUGAUGUGUAGGAUAGGUGGGAGGCUUUGAAGUGUGGACGCCAGUCUGCAUGGAGCCGGCCUUGAAAUACCACCCUUUAAUGUUUGAUGUUCUAACGUGGACCCGUGAUCCGGGUUGCGGACAGUGUCUGGUGGGUAGUUUGACUGGGGCGGUCUCCUCCUAAAGAGUAACGGAGGAGCACGAAGGUUGGCUAAUCUGGUCGGACAUCAGGAGGUUAGUGCAAUGGCAUAAGCCAGCUUGACUGCGAGCGUGACGGCGCGAGCAGGUGCGAAAGCAGGUCAUAGUGAUCCGGUGGUUCUGAAUGGAAGGGCCAUCGCUCAACGGAUAAAAGGUACUCCGGGGAUAACAGGCUGAUACCGCCCAAGAGUUCAUAUCGACGGCGGUGUUUGGCACCUCGAUGUCGGCUCAUCACAUCCUGGGGCUGAAGUAGGUCCCAAGGGUAUGGCUGUUCGCCAUUUAAAGUGGUACGCGAGCUGGGUUUAGAACGUCGUGAGACAGUUCGGUCCCUAUCUGCCGUGGGCGCUGGAGAACUGAGGGGGGCUGCUCCUAGUACGAGAGGACCGGAGUGGACGCAUCACUGGUGUUCGGGUUGUCAUGCCAAUGGCACUGCCCGGUAGCUAAAUGCGGAAGAGAUAAGUGCUGAAAGCAUCUAAGCACGAAACUUGCCCCGAGAUGAGUUCUCCCUGACCCUUUAAGGGUCCUGAAGGAACGUUGAAGACGACGACGUUGAUAGGCCGGGUGUGUAAGCGCAGCGAUGCGUUGAGCUAACCGGUACUAAUGAACCGUGAGGCUUAACCUUACAACGCCGAAG
rnacentral:rRNA from 1 species